rnacentral:lncRNA from 1 species
ACUGAGGAAAUCAGCAGGGCGAGUCGAACAGAUGAGAUGGGCAAAGAGAAGCAGAUAUGAGCUGAGGGAGAGAGACUCAAUGAACCACGAGAGGUGGGCAAAGAAAGCAGCCAGUCCUGAGGUUUCAGGUCCAAGGAACACCACGAUGACAUCCCGCCUGAACAAGGACCAGAACUGCCUCAUGACGGGAACAUCUUAUCAAUAUCCUACCGGGCAGCAAGCCAUACUGCCCAGACCCCUCCCGCCCAUACCUAUAAAUUACCCCAGCCUGUAAGCAGCGGUAGGCACUGGCGUUAGGCUGGUCCCCGACUUCUACAGUGUGCAUAUUUCUUUAACCCUCGCCUUCCCUUCAAAACCUAACAGGGAUCAG